GAGGAAGUAAAAGUCGUAACAAGGUUUCCGUAGGUGAACCUGCGGAAGGAUCAUUAUUGAAAAUAAACCUGAUGAGUUGCUGCUGGCUCUCUAGGGAGUAUUGUGCACACUUGUCAUCUUUAUAUCUCCACCUGUGCACCUUUUGUAGACCUGGAUAUCUCUCUGAGUGCUUAGCACUUCAGGUUUGAGGAUUGACUUUAUUGUUCUCUCUUUAUAUUUCCAGGCCUAUGUUUCUUCAUAUACACAUUGUAUGUUAUAGAAUGUAGUAAUUAGGCCUUUGUGCCUAUAAACCUAUACAACUUUCAGCAACGGAUCUCUUGGCUCUCGCAUCGAUGAAGAACGCAGCGAAAUGCGUUAAGUAAUGUGAAUUGCAGAAUUCAGUGAAUCAUCGAAUCUUUGAACGCACCUUGCGCUCCUUGGUAUUCCGAGGAGCAUGCCUGUUUGAGUGUCAUUAAUAUAUCAACCUCUUCAACUUUUGUUGAGUGUUGGAUGUGGGGGUUUUUUGCUGGCCUCUCUGAGUUCAGCUCCCCUGAAAUACAUUAGCGGAACAAUUUGUUCAUUGGCGUGAUAAUCUAUCUAUGCUAUUGACAUGAAGCAGUUCAGCUUAUAACAGUCCAUUGAAUUGGACAAAUUUUUAUCUAUUAAUGUGACCUCAAAUCAGGUAGGACUACCCGCUGAACUUAAGC
rnacentral:rRNA from 1 species